rnacentral:rRNA from 1 species
GAUGAACGCUGGCGGCGUGCCUAAUACAUGCAAGUCGAACGAACAGAUGAGGAGCUUGCUCCUCUGACGUUAGCGGCGGACGGGUGAGUAACACGUGGAUAACCUACCUAUCAGACUGGGAUAACUUCGGGAAACCGGAGCUAAUACCGGAUAAUAUAUUGAACCGCAUGGUUCAAUAGUGAAAGACGGUUUUACUUUCUGUUAUAGAUUGAUCCGCGCCGCCUUAGCUAGUUGGUAAGGGAACGGCUUACCAAGGCCGCGAUGCGUACCCGACCGGAGAGGGUGAUCGGCCACAUUGGGACUGAGACACGGCCCAAGCUCCUACGGGAGGCAGCAGUAGGGAAUCUUCCGCAAUGGACGCAAGUCUGACGGAGCAACGCCGCGUGAGUGAAGAAGGUGUUCGGAUCGUAAAACUCUGUUGUUAGGGAAGAACAAGUGCGAGAGUAACUGUUAGCGACUUGACGGUAUCUAACCAGAAAGCCACGGCUAACUACGUG